UUUGCACGUCAUCGUGUGAAAAUAGUAAUUUCGGCCCUUGAUAUCAAAACAAAGUCGAAUUAAAAUAAGAAGAGUACGUAUAGUGUGAAUGAAAAAGCGUGGACCGAAUUGAUCAGAGCAUCGCGGUGGAACAUACGAUCAGCAACUAAACUAGAAAGUAUUGAAUACAAUCAACGCUAACACUGGACACUCUGACGGGGACAUCACCAAAGAUUACGGUACCAGCUAUAUAUUUUCGACCUGAAUGAUGGAAUUUUGCAGAAAUUGUCUUACAUUAUAUUUGAUAUUAGAGAAUGGUCCUGAAGAGCUCCUCUUCCAGAUGGAUCUAAGGAGUACCUAACAAAUAUAAAGUGACUUCUGAUUUGGCCUCCGUAUUUCAUCGUACACUCAUGAAUCGCACCAAUUUCUGAAACCUGGUAUUUGUUGGAAGCUUUUCUCAAAACGCUAUAGCGUACUAAAAUUUUCAAAGAUUUACUGUGCCCAGCAGAAAACCCAGUAGAAAAAAGUUACGGUCAUUUGUUAGUUCAAUAUUCCAAUUCACUGAA